rnacentral:rRNA from 1 species
AGAGUUUGAUCCUGGCUCAGGAUGAACGCUGGCGGCGUGCCUAAUACAUGCAAGUCGAGCGAACGGACGAGAAGCUUGCUUCUCUGAUGUUAGCGGCGGACGGGUGAGUAACACGUGGAUAACCUACCUAUAAGACUGGGAUAACUUCGGGAAACCGGAGCUAAUACCGGAUAAUAUUUUGAACCGCAUGGUUCAAAAGUGAAAGACGGUCUUGCUGUCACUUAUAGAUGGAUCCGCGCUGCAUUAGCUAGUUGGUAAGGUAACGGCUUACCAAGGCAACGAUGCAUAGCCGACCUGAGAGGGUGAUCGGCCACACUGGAACUGAGACACGGUCCAGACUCCUACGGGAGGCAGCAGUAGGGAAUCUUCCGCAAUGGGCGAAAGCCUGACGGAGCAACGCCGCGUGAGUGAUGAAGGUCUUCGGAUCGUAAAACUCUGUUAUUAGGGAAGAACAUAUGUGUAAGUAACUGUGCACAUCUUGACGGUACCUAAUCAGAAAGCCACGGCUAACUACGUGCCAGCAGCCGCGGUAAUACGUAGGUGGCAAGCGUUAUCCGGAAUUAUUGGGCGUAAAGCGCGCGUAGGCGGUUUUUUAAGUCUGAUGUGAAAGCCCACGGCUCAACCGUGGAGGGUCAUUGGAAACUGGAAAACUUGAGUGCAGAAGAGGAAAGUGGAAUUCCAUGUGUAGCGGUGAAAUGCGCAGAGAUAUGGAGGAACACCAGUGGCGAAGGCGACUUUCUGGUCUGUAACUGACGCUGAUGUGCGAAAGCGUGGGGAUCAAACAGGAUUAGAUACCCUGGUAGUCCACGCCGUAAACGAUGAGUGCUAAGUGUUAGGGGGUUUCCGCCCCUUAGUGCUGCAGCUAACGCAUUAAGCACUCCGCCUGGGGAGUACGACCGCAAG